UACGUAGGGGGCAAGCGUUGUCCGGAAUCAUUGGGCGUAAAGCGCGCGUAGGCGGCCCGGUAAGUCCGCUGUAAAAGUCCAGGGCUCAACCCUGGAAAGCCGGUGGAUACUGUCGGGCUAGAGUCCGGAAGAGGCGAGUGGAAUUCCUGGUGUAGGCGGUGGAAUGCGCAGAUAUCAGGAGGAACACCGAUGGCGAAGGCAGCUCGC
rnacentral:rRNA from 1 species